GGAAUGACUGAGCACACGGAAAACCUCCCCUGUCAAAACACAAGUUUAUUUGCCAUGGUCUCAUGAAGAACACUUCCAACUUUUCCUAUGCUCCUCCUCAGGGGGAGCAGAGCAAACAAAGCAAAGGAACAGUUGACAAGGUGCUGCCACUUCGUUCUCUUUAGGAAAGGAGGCAAUGCAGCCAAAGCCAUUAUAAAUUCC